CCAUCUGCUUCCAGACUGCGGUUAACCGCAAGAGACUAAAACCUCAGAAAGCAAAACCAUGGAUAAGGAGGGACUACUGUAUAGGCAGAGAAGCGACACAUGACAACAGACAAUGUCCUUCACCUCAGCAUGAUUUUCAUAACAGAUGCACGGAUGGAUUUCCCUUCUUGUAAAACUGCAGCUCAGGGAAAGCAAGUCUAUAAGCGACUUAAAUAUAAUUCACAGAGGUUGAAGGAUAAAGUAAGAGGAGAUAAAUGAUAUGGCCUGGAAGAGACAUACACUACUAUGAGACAGAUGCCACCCCCAUUGGCGGUUGUGUAUCACUUCCUGAAUACAUCAUUCUGAUGCAGUACUUGGAAACAGGCUUCAAGGCUGCAAAUCAUAGACUGAGGGACAAAUAGUGCUUCUCUUUGAGGCACGCACAUGUUGAAGGACAGAAAGUGAACAGUGCAGCUGCAGUGGAGAAGGAAUGUGUGAGGAAACAGGAGGGAUCUGGUGUUAUGCAAGACAUCAGGAGUCUUCCUAUAUAGUGCUUGAAGACCUACCACUGCCACGAAAGCAAUUUUGUUCAUCUGGUUGUGCGUUGUGUCACAGUUUGGGGGGAAUGAUCACGUUUUGUUAAUCUCCACUGCUGAAUGAAGAGAUUCGCAUGCAGAGGUACACCCAUGCUUAUUGUGCUGAGUGUCUGCUGAAGAAGUAUCUGUCCACGUUCAUACAUGGCUCCUCAGGGCCAGUGCGUUAUUUGUGUGUUAGAUGUGCCUGUACCUUUUCUCCAAAUGGCUUAGCGCUGUAUACAGAUCUUUACAUGAGUAUUUUUCUUAACUGCAUGGGUCUGCUCAUGACUUCUGACAACCAUGCAGU